rnacentral:rRNA from 1 species
GAUGAACGCUGGCGGCGUGCCUAAUACAUGCAAGUCGAGCGAACGGACGAGAAGCUUGCUUCUCUGAUGUUAGCGGCGGACGGGUGAGUAACACGUGGAUAACCUACCUAUAAGACUGGGAUAACUUCGGGAAACCGGAGCUAAUACCGGAUAAUAUUUUGAACCGCAUGGUUCAAAAGUGAAAGACGGUCUUGCUGUCACUUAUAGAUGGAUCCGCGCUGCAUUAGCUAGUUGGUAAGGUAACGGCUUACCAAGGCAACGAUGCAUAGCCGACCUGAGAGGGUGAUCGGCCACACUGGAACUGAGACACGGUCCAGACUCCUACGGGAGGCAGCAGUAGGGAAUCUUCCGCAAUGGGCGAAAGCCUGACGGAGCAACGCCGCGUGAGUGAUGAAGGUCUUCGGAUCGUAAAACUCUGUUAUUAGGGAAGAACAUAUGUGUAAGUAACUGUGCACAUCUUGACGGUACCUAAUCAGAAAGCCACGGCUAACUACGUGCCAGCAGCCGCGGUAAUACGUAGGUGGCAAGCGUUAUCCGGAAUUAUUGGGCGUAAAGCGCGCGUAGGCGGUUUUUUAAGUCUGAUGUGAAAGCCCACGGCUCAACCGUGGAGGGUCAUUGGAAACUGGAAAGCUUGAGUGCAGAAGAGGAAAGUGGAAUUCCAUGUGUAGCGGUGAAAUGCGCAGAGAUAUGGAGGAACACCAGUGGCGAAGGCGACUUUCUGGUCUGUAACUGACGCUGAUGUGCGAAAGCGUGGGGAUCAAACAGGAUUAGAUACCCUGGUAGUCCACGCCGUAAACGAUGAGUGCUAAGUGUUAGGGGGUUUCCGCCCCUUAGUGCUGCAGCUAACGCAUUAAGCACUCCGCCUGGGGAGUACGACCGCAAGGUUGAAACUCAAAGGAAUUGACGGGGACCCGCACAAGCGGUGGAGCAUGUGGUUUAAUUCGAAGCAACGCGAAGAACCUUACCAAAUCUUGACAUCCUUUGACAACUCUAGAGAUAGAGCCUUCCCCUUCGGGGGACAAAGUGACAGGUGGUGCAUGGUUGUCGUCAGCUCGUGUCGUGAGAUGUUGGGUUAAGUCCCGCAACGAGCGCAACCCUUAAGCUUAGUUGCCAUCAUUAAGUUGGGCACUCUAAGUUGACCGCCGGUGACAAACCGGAGGAAGGUGGGGAUGACGUCAAAUCAUCAUGCCCCUUAUGAUUUGGGCUACACACGUGCUACAAUGGACAAUACAAAGGGCAGCGAAACCGCGAGGUCAAGCAAAUCCCAUAAAGUUGUUCUCAGUUCGGAUUGUAGUCUGCAACUCGACUACAUGAAGCUGGAAUCGCUAGUAAUCGUAGAUCAGCAUGCUACGGUGAAUACGUUCCCGGGUCU